rnacentral:tRNA from 1 species
CCUGGUGGCUCAGAGGUUUUAAAGCAUCUGCCUGCAAUGCAGGAGACCCAGGUUCGAUCCCUGGGUCAGGA